rnacentral:tRNA from 1 species
GGCUGGAUCACCUCCUAACAGGGAGACAAACUGAUAGCGCUGUCUGAAGCCUUUGUCUUUAGGCCGUUAUCCUGUCAUCUCGAAGGUCGAUCGGUACCUCAAGGAAGUGUCAUUCGUUAACGAUCAAGCCUCAAAAACUUGAUGGUUCAAGCGGGUGUCAAUUCUUUCAGUUUCUCAACUUCUGUCUAGGUCACCCCAUUUGUCUCAGGACGCUCCUGGGCCAUUAGCUCAGGUGGUUAGAGCGCACCCCUGAUAAGGGUGAGGUCCCUGGUUCAAGUCCAGGAUGGCCCAUUCACCGCCUGCAAUGGCAGGCAGGUCUUACAGGUCGGGGGUUUAGCUCAGUUGGUAGAGCGCCUGCUUUGCAAGCAGGAUGUCAGCGGUUCGAGUCCGCUAACCUCCAUCCAACACAUUCAUCCACGGCUCCAUCCACAACUGAUGGGGCAGAGACCCUCUGACCCAAGGAGCAAUCCAGUGGGGACGACCUGGACGACGGUUCAACAGGUGUGACCUGUUUGAAAAAGGAGUUCAGCAUCCUUUCAUUCCCGAUUCCCGCUUGUUUUUUGGACAAGGAUGGGGAGAAGGUUGGAAAGACGCUGAAUUCAGCAAGGAUUUACAUCACAAGUGUAAAUUCUGGCGAGUUCAGUAGAACCUUGACAACUGCAUAGGUGAGUCUGGAAAAGAAAGCAUCUCAUAGAUGUUUCAGCUGCGAGAGCAGUUGAACAAUUCUUGAGUUUAGAGCCGAGAUUCCAGUGGUUAAAGAUCCAUUCUCAGGAGCUUUAGCGAUCAGCAAGACCAUAGGUUUUGUGGACGUUGAAGGGAGAGGGAAGAGAUGUUUAGGAG